CAGUAGCCGCGGGAAUACGUAGGUGGCAAGCGUUGUCCGGAAUUAUUGGGCGUAAAGGGCUCGCAGGCGGUUUCUUAAGUCUGAUGUGAAAGCCCCCGGCUCAACCGGGGAGGGUCAUUGGAAACUGGGAAACUUGAGUGCAGAAGAGGAGAGUGGAAUUCCACAUGUAGCGGUGAAAUGCGUAGAGAUGUGGAGGAACACCAGUGGCGAAGGCGACUCUCUGGUCUGUAACUGACGCUGAGGAGCGAAAGCGUGGGGAGCGAACAGGAUUAGAUACCCCUGUAGUCCCUGUCUCUUAUAC
rnacentral:rRNA from 1 species